rnacentral:rRNA from 1 species
UUAAGCGACUAAGCGUACACGGUGGAUGCCCUGGCAGUCAGAGGCGAUGAAGGACGUGCUAAUCUGCGAAAAGCGUCGGUAAGGUGAUAUGAACCGUUAUAACCGGCGAUGUCCGAAUGGGGAAACCCAGUGUGAUUCGUCACACUAUCGUUAACUGAAUACAUAGGUUAACGAGGCGAACCGGGGGAACUGAAACAUCUAAGUACCCCGAGGAAAAGAAAUCAACCGAGAUUCCCCCAGUAGCGGCGAGCGAACGGGGAGCAGCCCAGAGUCUGAAUCAGCUUGUGUGUUAGUGGAACGGUCUGGAAAGUCCGACGGUACAGGGUGAUAGUCCCGUACACGAAAAUGCACAGGCUGUGAACUCGAAGAGUAGGGCGGGACACGUGGUAUCCUGUCUGAAUAUGGGGGACCAUCCUCCAAGGCUAAAUACUCCUGACUGACCGAUAGUGAACCAGUACCGUGAGGGAAAGGCGAAAAGAACCCCGGCGAGGGGAGUGAAAAAGAACCUGAAACCGUGUACGUACAAGCAGUGGGAGCACCUUCGGGUGUGACUGCGUACCUUUUGUAUAAUGGGUCAGCGACUUAUAUUCUGUAGCAAGGUUAACCGUAUAGGGGAGCCGCAGGGAAACCGAGUCUUAACUGGGCGUUAAGUUGCAGGGUAUAGACCCGAAACCCGGUGAUCUAGCCAUGGGCAGGUUGAAGGUUGGGUAACACUAACUGGAGGACCGAACCGACUAAUGUUGAAAAAUUAGCGGAUGACUUGUGGCUGGGGGUGAAAGGCCAAUCAAACCGGGAGAUAGCUGGUUCUCCCCGAAAGCUAUUUAGGUAGCGCCUCGUGAAUUCAUCUUCGGGGUAGAGCACUGUUUCGGCUAGGGGGUCAUCCCGACUUACCAACCCGAUGCAAACUACGAAUACCGAAGAAUGUUAUCACGGGAGACACACGGCGGGUGCUAACGUCCGUCGUGAAGAGGGAAACAACCCAGACCGCCAGCUAAGGUCCCAAAGUCAUGGUUAAGUGGGAAACGAUGUGGGAAGGCACAGACAGCCAGGAUGUUGGCUUAGAAGCAGCCAUCAUUUAAAGAAAGCGUAAUAGCUCACUGGUCGAGUCGGCCUGCGCGGAAGAUGUAACGGGGCUAAACCAUGCACCGAAGCUGCGGCAGCGACACUAUGUGUUGUUGGGUAGGGGAGCGUUCUGUAAGCCUGCGAAGGUGUGCUGUGAGGCAUGCUGGAGGUAUCAGAAGUGCGAAUGCUGACAUAAGUAACGAUAAAGCGGGUGAAAAGCCCGCUCGCCGGAAGACCAAGGGUUCCUGUCCAACGUUAAUCGGGGCAGGGUGAGUCGACCCCUAAGGCGAGGCCGAAAGGCGUAGUCGAUGGGAAACAGGUUAAUAUUCCUGUACUUGGUGUUACUGCGAAGGGGGACGGAGAAGGCUAUGUUAGCCGGGCGACGGUUGUCCCGGUUUAAGCAUGUAGGCUGAUUGUCCAGGCAAAUCCGGAUAAUCAAGGCUGAGGUGUGAUGACGAGGCACUACGGUGCUGAAGUAACAAAUGCCCUGCUUCCAGGAAAAGCCUCUAAGCAUCAGGUAACAUUAAAUCGUACCCCAAACCGACACAGGUGGUCAGGUAGAGAAUACCAAGGCGCUUGAGAGAACUCGGGUGAAGGAACUAGGCAAAAUGGUGCCGUAACUUCGGGAGAAGGCACGCUGGUGUGUAGGUGAAGUCCCUGCGGAUGGAGCUGAGACCAGUCGAAGAUACCAGCUGGCUGCAACUGUUUAUUAAAAACACAGCACUGUGCAAACACGAAAGUGGACGUAUACGGUGUGACGCCUGCCCGGUGCCGGAAGGUUAAUUGAUGGGGUUAUCCGUAAGGAGAAGCUCUUGAUCGAAGCCCCGGUAAACGGCGGCCGUAACUAUAACGGUCCUAAGGUAGCGAAAUUCCUUGUCGGGUAAGUUCCGACCUGCACGAAUGGCGUAAUGAUGGCCAGGCUGUCUCCACCCGAGACUCAGUGAAAUUGAACUCGCUGUGAAGAUGCAGUGUACCCGCGGCAAGACGGAAAGACCCCGUGAACCUUUACUAUAGCUUGACACUGAACAUUGAGCCUUGAUGUGUAGGAUAGGUGGGAGGCUUUGAAGCGUGGACGCCAGUCUGCGUGGAGCCAACCUUGAAAUACCACCCUUUAAUGUUUGAUGUUCUAACGUUGGCCCCUUACCGGGGUUGCGGACAGUGUCUGGUGGGUAGUUUGACUGGGGCGGUCUCCUCCCAAAGCGUAACGGAGGAGCACGAAGGUUAGCUAAUCCUGGUCGGACAUCAGGAGGUUAGUGCAAUGGCAUAAGCUAGCUUGACUGCGAGCGUGACGGCGCGAGCAGGUGCGAAAGCAGGUCAUAGUGAUCCGGUGGUUCUGAAUGGAAGGGCCAUCGCUCAACGGAUAAAAGGUACUCCGGGGAUAACAGGCUGAUACCGCCCAAGAGUUCAUAUCGACGGCGGUGUUUGGCACCUCGAUGUCGGCUCAUCACAUCCUGGGGCUGAAGUAGGUCCCAAGGGUAUGGCUGUUCGCCAUUUAAAGUGGUACGCGAGCUGGGUUUAGAACGUCGUGAGACAGUUCGGUCCCUAUCUGCCGUGGGCGCUGGAGAAUUGAGGGGGGCUGCUCCUAGUACGAGAGGACCGGAGUGGACGCAUCACUGGUGUUCGGGUUGUCAUGCCAAUGGCACUGCCCGGUAGCUAAAUGCGGAAGAGAUAAGUGCUGAAAGCAUCUAAGCACGAAACUUGCCCCGAGAUGAGUUCUCCCUGAGACUUUAAGUCUCCUGAAGGAACGUUGAAGACGACGACGUUGAUAGGCCGGGUGUGUAAGCGCAGCGAUGCGUUGAGCUAACCGGUACUAAUGAACCGUGAGGCUUAACCU